rnacentral:piRNA from 1 species
AUAUAUUUGGGAGCCAUCGAC